CUCUGAGUUCAUCUAUUGACAGGGUUUACCUCCAGACCCACACACUCUCUGAGUUCAUCUAUUGGCAGGGUUUACCUCCAGACCCACACACUCUCAGAGUUCAUCUAUUGGCAGGGUUUACCUCCAGACCCACACACUCUCUGAGUUCAUCUAUUGGCAGGGUUUACCUCCAGACCCACACACUCUCUGAGUUAAUCUAUUGGCAGUGUUUACCUCCAGACCCACACACUCUCUGAGUUCAUCUAUUGGCAGGGUUUACCUCCAGACCCACACAUUCUCUGAGUUCAUCUAUUGGCAGGCUUUACCUCCAGACCCACACACUCUCUGAGUUCAUCUAUUGGCAGGGUUUACCUCCAGACCCACACACUCUCUGAGUUCCUCUAUUGACAGGGUUUACCUCCAGACCCACACACUCUCUGAGUUCAUCUAUUGGCAGGGUUUACCUCCAGACCCACACAUUCUCUGAGUUCAUCUAUUGGCAGGGUUUACCUCCAGACCCAUACAUUAUGUCCAUGGUGCUGUCAAAGUGACCAUGUGGUCCAGUAGAUGGAGUGGUUGUGGUGGUAUAAAGGUCCAUAGCUACACAGACUGGGCACAUUAAUCAGUGUCCAAUUUACACAGCACCAUCCAGAGGUGAGGAUGGGUUCUGAACUUUUGAUUGCAAACAUAGAGGGCAUCUGUUAGGGACUGGGUUUACCAGACCUAGGGCUAGGCUAGACAAAGGGUUUACCAGACCUAGGGCUAGGCUAGACGAAGGGUUUACCAGACCUAGGGCUAGGCUAGACGAAGGGUUUACCAGACCUAGGGCUAGGCUAGACGAAGGGUUUACCAGACCUAGGGCUAGGCUAGACGAAGGGUUUACCAGACCUAGGGCUAGGCUAGACAAAGGGUUUACCAGACCUAUGGCUAGGCUAGAUGAAGGGUUUACCAGACCUAGGGCUAGGCUAGACGAAGGGUUUACCAGACCUAGGGCUAGGCUAGACGAAGGGUUUACCAGACCUAGGGCUAGGCUAGACGAAGGGUUUACCAGACCUAGGGCUAGGCUAGACGAAGGGUUUACCAGACCUAGGGCUAGGCUAGACGAAGGGUUUAACAGACGUAGGGCUAGGCUAGACGAAGGGUUUAACAGACGUAGGGCUAGGCUAGACGAAGGGUUUACCAGACCUAGGGCUAGGCUAGACGAAGGGUUUACCAGACCUAGGGCUAGGCUAGACGAAGGGUUUACCAGACCUAGGGCUAGGCUAGACGAAGGGUUUAACAGACGUAGGGCUAGGCUAGACGAAGGGUUUACCAGACCUAGGGCUAGGCUAGACGAAGGGUUUACCAGACCUAGGGCUAGGCUAGACGAAGCGUUUACCAGACCUAGGGCUAGGCUAGACGAAGGGUUUACCAGACCUAGGGCUAGGCUAGACGAAGGGUUUAACAGACGUAGGGCUAGGCUAGACGAAGGGUUUAACAGAUGUAGGGCUAGGCUAGACGAAGGGUUUACCAGACCUAGGGCUAGGCUAGACGAAGGGUUUACCAGACCUAGGGCUAGGCUAGACGAAGGGUUUACCAGACCUAGGUUUAGAGGAAGGGAUCCCCAUGACAACAUCAACUGAACGAAUUACAAUCUGAACAUUCUAAAAUGGUGGUGGGGGGGGGGUGAAUGGAGAAAUGAAUGAACAGGGUAGAGAGAGCCCAUCCCACCCUCACCAGGGCCUCUCGUCUCUGAAGUCAGUGCCCACCCCGUUUCUCUCUCACUCCUCUCCCUGCCUCAUGCUGCCAGCCAGCAGGGAAACUAGGUCACUGAACUCUGUCUGCUCUCUGUUUUUUGUAUAUAAAUUAAAGCCAAAAGGCUGAACUCUCCCUCUCUAGCUGGUCAGCCGUCGCCACAAAGCUUUUCACCAGAGGAGGGUUAGAGUAAAAAAACACAUACAGGCAGGCAGUCACACACACAUACAGGCAGGCAGUCACACACACAAACAGGCGCACACACAGACAAACAGGCACACACACAGACAAACAGGCACACACACACACACACAAACAGACACACACACACACAAACAUGCAGGCACACACACAAACAGGCAGGCAGUCACACACACAAACAGGCAGUCACACACACAUACAGGCAGGCAAGCACACACACAAACAGGCACACAAACAGGCACACACACACACACACACACACAAACAGACACACACACACACACAAACAUGCAGGCACACACACAAACAGGCAGGCAGUCACACAAACAGGCAGUCACACACACAAACAGGCAGUCACACACACAUACAGGCAGGCACACACACAAACAGGCAGGCACACACACAUACAGACAGGCGGUCACACACACAAACAGGCAGGCGGUCACACACACAAACAGGCAGGCAGUCACACACACAAACAGGCAAGCAGUCACACACAUACAAACAGGCAGGCACACAAACAGGCAGUCACACACACAAACAGGCAGGCACACACACAUACAGGCAGGCACACACACAUACAGGCAGGCACACACACAUACAGGCAGGCACACACACACAAACAGGCAGGCACACACACAGGCAGGCAGGCAGGCACACACACACACAAACAGGCAGUCACACACACAAACAGGCAGUCACACACACAAACAGGCAGUCACACACAAUCAGGCAUGCAUGCAUGCAGACAGACAGCAUAAAACACUAAAACAUGCAUGCAGACAGACAGACAGGGUAAAACACUAAAACAUGCAAGCGCGCCCUCACACACACAGUAAACAAACCCAGAUAUCCAGUAUAAUCCUCUCUGGCUAAAUAUGUUUGGGAUUUUUAAGGAGCGGGUCAAAAUAAGUCAUGCUGCGCCGGAGGCUGCAGUGCUAUCUCUGACAAGCCAAGGGAGGAUUUGUGCUGUGCAGAUUCACUGCAUAUUUCUAUUUCUGCCUCGGCCACUCUUAAUCACUGUGAUCACACACACGGAGAGUGCUCCACACAUGGACACACUCUCUAGCCUCCUCUUUGGUGGCCAGUAUUUCUAUCUCCCUCCAGGCAGGCAUGGUCGGAGCAAACCACCUCCAUGUCACUGGACCGACCUCCAGUGUGAUUUCAGAGUCAGAUGAUGUCACCAGUAACAGGUGUUAAGUAGGCUAGGUUUCCCUGGCAACAGUGGAAUCCUCAGACAUGACUGUUCUCCCCAGUCCAAUCCCCUCUGUCCAUUCAUCCCUUCAUCUCUCUCUCCUCCUCUGUCUCUCUUGCUCAUUGAGGCCAGAGAGAGAGAGAGGAGUGUUCUGGUAGCGUGGUCCCAGACCUGUUUGUUCAGACUGGCGAAUUCAUGACAAUGACAAUAGGAGUUGGCAAGACAGCACAAACAGAUCUGGGACCAGGCUAGAGUUCUAGGCUGCUGGGUGGAGAAAGCUGAAAUUGACACGGAUCCAAUUCCAGGUUCCACAUAUUUCAAUAUAAAAAUAAGCUGUUUGAAUCAUUAACCCUUUGGGCACGCUCUGUCAUGUAAUGUUCUGCACCUUUGUCUUCUCCAGGAGUGUUUAUAUUAUAGGGGAUAUGCCAAUUGCCAACAGUUGAAAAUGUAAAAUGUGUAAGUCAAUUCAUUCUCAGUGGGUUGAUAUGGUUCUGUAAUUUGCUGGUUUUGAGGACCAAUAGCAAUAACUUUUAUGUUGGAUUUAUGUUUUCUUUUUUAGAAUUAAACCCUAUCUGUCAUAGUUGAAAAGAAGCGGUACUUUUUCCUGAAAGGGUUAAAAACAAAAAGCUAAUUGACGCCAAUGAAUAAUUAAGCUAUAACGAGAGUCACAGUAUGUGCUUAUCACAGGAACAUUUGGGGCACUAAAUUGUGAUAGCUAGCAAUAUUAGUGCCACUUACAAGGGAUGCCAUUCAUUGACUGAAGUGCCACAGCAGUGCGCAAAGGGUUAAUUCAAGACUAAGGCCACAAGAGGCCUGUAUCCAAGUUAUUUUUUGCACAUUUUUUUAGAUAUUUUAAAUGUCAGUAUUUUAAAACAUAUUCCAAGUGCCUUUUAUUAUAAGUGAAAAUAUAGAAGAUAUAAAAGUAUAUGAAAAAUGAAAUAUAUAUAUAUGAAUAUAUAUUUUUUCCUGGCAUCGUGUUCUCGAGGUUCUUGAACAUGCUUAAUUUUAGAGUUGUAAAAGUCUCCAAUUGGUACAACAUUGCUGUGUGCUUCUGUUUUAGAGGAAUUUUAUUACGAUAAUGUCAAUGGAAAGAAAAUGUUUAAUAAAGUCGCAUUUGAUACAAUUUAUUUGUAAUUUUUCAGUUACUACAUCCGGAGUGCUGCAUCACACACACCACACCUUAUAUUGUUUUAAAAUCACAUCUAAAUUGUAUAUUUAAGUGUUAAAAAUGAUUCCAUAACAACUCAAGUUUAU
rnacentral:lncRNA from 1 species